rnacentral:misc_RNA from 1 species
AAGUCGUAACAAGGUUUCCGUAGGUGAACCUGCGGAAGGAUCAUUAAAGAAUUGGCUUCGGCCUUUAUCUAUACAUUGUGCACUGUUCUUGAUUUGGGUGGGACGCGGCUUUCAGCUGCCUCGGAUUUACGAGUGUGCCCGCCCAAGGUUUUUUACAUGAUGUUAUGAAUGUCUUUUAUACAAAAAGAGAAA